ACAAAGGCAGAUGUGUAUAACUUUGGAGUUGUUGUACUUAUAGUUGUUAGUGGAAAGAAAGAAAAGAUUUCAAUGUCUAGCAGCGGGGCUGACACCGAGUACCUUCCAGAUCUCGCGGCACGUGAAAAGCAGAGAGAAGGGCAUUUUAUGAAUCUAGUUGA